UACGUAGGGCGCAAGCGUUGUCCGGAAUUAUUGGGCGUAAAGAGCUCGUAGGCGGUCUGUCGCGUCGGCUGUGAAAACCCGGGGCUCAACCCCGGGCCUGCAGUCGAUACGGGCAGACUAGAGUGUGGUAGGGGAGACUGGAAUUCCUGGUGUAGCGGUGGAAUGCGCAAAUAUCAGGAGGAACACCGGUGGCGAAGGCGGGUCUCUGGGCCAUAACUGACGCUGAGGAGCGAAAGCGUGGGGAGCGAACAGG
rnacentral:rRNA from 1 species